rnacentral:snoRNA from 1 species
AACCCCUAUGAUAACUGAUUAUGAUUAAAAAUGUUAAAAGUAGAGUGACUGAUAUCUUCUUGUUGAUAUUGCAGCUCUGAGUGUCU